AUUAGUGGUUGAAGGCAGCUGAUCUGUUUCGAAUCCUGUGUGUCCGGAGAGGCCAACGCUUUCAUUAGCCAGCAGGAAUGGGCUGGGGCGCGUUUGUAGUUGGGAAUCCUGAGCCCGGGCUGUUGCUUGGAGGACUCGGGAGCAGCAGUGGAUUUCGGCGUUACCAGGAGAGCUAUGUAUAGGAAUGCCGCUAUGGAAAGACAUCCAGGACACCUUGUUAAGUGAAAAAAGACAUGCCACCAUUAGGGCUUCAUUUCCCUGCAGUCUUCUUUAAAUACCAAAACUGCCCUGGGAAGGAUAAGACAUCAGUUUCUUCAUACUUCAGAGCAAAUGGGAUUGAUUCCCAGGACCUCCUUUCUGUGGACUGGGUUUUUGCCUCCUCACCAAGAGACUGGGCUCCCUGGGCGAGCAGAGGCUGCUGGGUUCAGUAUCUGAACACUUUUGCUAAAGGUCUCUGGAAAGCUCCCUGUGUUAAUUCUCGAUGAGACUACGUCUGUGCCGGCCGCUUCCUGAGCCUCCUUCCAUGUGCAUAGGCCUGCUGCAUGCUGGAGACCUGCGGCACAGCUGCCAAGUGCCCCGUGUGGUUCUGUGAUCUUGGGACAGUCACUUCCUCUCUGUGGUUGUCAGUCUUCUCAUCCCUAAGGUAAGGGGACGCUGUCUCCACGCUCAUCUCCUCAGCUAGACUGGGGCCUCAGGCCUGAGCCCAGGGCCUAAGAGCCCUAAAAAAUGUUUGCUGAAUAAAUGAAUGAAUAAGCCACA
ensembl:lncRNA DRAIC downregulated RNA in cancer, inhibitor of cell invasion and migration